CAGCAGCCACGGGAAUACGAAGGGGGCUAGCGUUGUUCGGAUUAACUGGGCGUAAAGGGCGCGUAGGCGGGUUUUUAAGUCAGAGGUGAAAUCCCAAGGCUCAACCUUGGAACUGCCUUUGAUACUGGAAGUCUUGAGUCCGGGAGAGGUGAGUGGAACUGCGAGUGUAGAGGUGAAAUUCGUAGAUAUUCGCAGGAACACCAGUGGCGAAGGCGGCUCACUGGCUCGACACUGACGCUGAGGUGCGAAAGCGUGGGGAGCAAACAGGAUUAGAUACCCCAGUAGUCCCUGUCUCUUAUAC
rnacentral:rRNA from 1 species